rnacentral:rRNA from 1 species
AUUAAUUCAAUAGCGGAGGAAAAGAAACUAACAAGGAUUCCCCUAGUAACUGCGAGUGAAGCGGGAAAAGCUCAAAUUUAAAAUCUGGUGGUCUUUGACCAUCCGAGUUGUAAUUUAGAGAAGCGUCUUCCGCGCUGGGCCGUGCACAAGUCUCCUGGAAUGGAGCGUCAUAGAGGGUGAGAAUCCCGUCUUUGGCACGGACCUCAGGGCUUUUGUGAUGCGCUCUCGAAGAGUCGAGUUGUUUGGGAAUGCAGCUCAAAAUGGGUGGUGAACUCCAUCUAAAGCUAAAUAUUGGCGAGAGACCGAUAGCGAACAAGUACCGUGAGGGAAAGAUGAAAAGCACUUUGGAAAGAGAGUGAAACAGUACGUGAAAUUGUUGAAAGGGAAACGCUUGAAGUCAGUCGCGUCGACCGAGACUCAGCCUUGCCUCGGCUCGGUGUACUUCUCGGCCGACGGGUCAGCAUCAAUUUUGAGCCUUGGAUAAUGGCGAGGGAAAGGUGACACCUUCAGGUGUGUUAUAGUCUCUUGUCGCAUGCAAGGGUUGGGAUUGAGGAACUCAGCACGCGCCUUUGGGUGUCGGGGUCUCCCCCACGAUACGUGCUUAGGAUGCUGGCGUAAUGGCUUUAAACGACCCGUCUUGAAACACGGACCAAGGAGUCUAACAUGCCCGCGAGUGUUCGGGUGGAAAACCCGUGCGCGCAAUGAAAGUGAAAGUUGGGACCUCCGUCGUGGAGGGCACCGACGCCCGGACCAGACCUUCUGUGACGGCUCUCCGGUAGAGCGUGUAUGUUAGGACCCGAAAGAUGGUGAACUAUGCCUGAAUAGGGUGAAGCCAGAGGAAACUCUGGUGGAGGCUCGUAGCGAUUCUGACGUGCAAAUCGAUCGUCAAAUUUGGGUAUAGGGGCGAAAGACUAAUCGAA